UACGGGGGGGGCAAGCGUUGUUCGGAAUUACUGGGCGUAAAGGGCUCGUAGGCGGCCAACUAAGUCAGACGUGAAAUCCCUCGGCUUAACCGGGGAACUGCGUCUGAUACUGGAUGGCUUGAGAUUGGGAGAGGGAUGCGGAAUUCCAGGUGUAGCGGUGAAAUGCGUAGAUAUCUGGAGGAGCACCGGUGGCGAAGGCGGCAUCCUGGACCAACACUGACGCUGAGUGAGCGAAAGCCAGGGGAGCAAACGGG
rnacentral:rRNA from 1 species